UGCCAGCCGCCGCGGUAAUACAGAGGGUGCAAGCGUUAAUCGGACUUACUGGGCGUAAAGGGCGCGUAGGUGGUGAAUUAAGUCAGAUGUGAAAUCCCAAGGCUUAACCUUGGAAGGUCAUUUGAAACUGGUUGACUAGAGUAGAAGAGAGGGAAGCGGAAUUUCCGGUGUAGCGGUGAAAUGCGUAGAUAUCGGAAGGAACACCCGUAGCGAAGGCGGCUUCCUGGCUUCAUACUGACACUGAUGCGCGAAAGCGUGGGUAGCGAACAGGAUUAGAUA
rnacentral:rRNA from 1 species